UCCACGCCCUAAACGAUGAACACUAGUCGUCGGGAUGCUAGUCAUCUCGGUGAUGCACUUAACAGAUUAAGUGUUCCGCCUGGGGAGUACGGUCGCAAGAUUAAAACUCAAAGGAAUAGACGGGGACCCGCACAAGUGGUGGAGCAUGUGGUUUAAUUCGAAAAUACGCGAAGAACCUUACCUAGCCUUGACAUUGAAGAAACACACUAGAGAUAGAGUGGUGCCCUUCGGGG
rnacentral:rRNA from 1 species